rnacentral:rRNA from 1 species
UACGUAGGGUGCAAGCGUUGUCCGGAAUUAUUGGGCGUAAAGAGCUCGUAGGCGGUUUGUCGCGUCUGCUGUGAAAACUCGGGGCUCAACUCCGAGCUUGCAGUGGGUACGGGCAGACUAGAGUGCGGUAGGGGAGACUGGAAUUCCUGGUGUAGCGGUGGAAUGCGCAGAUAUCAGGAAGAACACCCGUGGCGAAGGCGGCUCUCUGGAACGCAACUGACGCUGAGACGCGAAAGCGUGGGGAGCAAACAGG